rnacentral:lncRNA from 1 species
UACCGUUUUCAUUUGGAUUUAAGUUACCUGCUACUUCAUCAUUUUUUGUACCUUUUUAAAGGUGACCAUUUUUCACAUCAGUUGGAAUCUGUUAUACCUCACCUGGAUUACAGUUCUUUCUUUCACCACCAUCCAGGAAUCUGUUACACCUCACCUGGAUUACAGUUCUUUCUUUCACCACCAUCCAGGAAUCUGUUACACCUCACCUGGAUUACAGUUAUUUCUGUUACCACCAUCCAGGAAUCUGUUACACCUCACCUGGAUUACAGUUCUUUCUUUUACCACUUACCAUCCAGGAAUCUGUUACACCUCACCUGGAUUACAGUUCUUUCUUUUACCACUUACCAUCCAGGAAUCUGUUACACCUCACCUGGAUUACAGUUCUUUCUUUUACCACUUACCAUCCAGGAAUCUGUUACACCUCACCUGGAUUACAGUUCUUUCUUUUACCACUUACCAUCCAGGAAUCUGUUACACCUCACCUGGAUUACAGUUCUUUCUUUUACCACUUACCAUCCAGGAAUCUGUUACACCUCACCUGGAUUACAGUUCUUUCUUUCACCACCAUCCAGGAAUCUGUUACACCUCACCUGGAUUACAGUUAUUUCUGUUACCACCAUCCAGGAAUCUGUUACACCUCACCUGGAUUACAGUUCUUUCUUUUACCACUUACCAUCCAGGAAUCUGUUACACCUCACCUGGAUUACAGUUCUUUCUUUUACCACUUACCAUCCAGGAAUCUGUUACACCUCACCUGGAUUACAGUUCUUUCUUUUACCACUUACCAUCCAGGAAUCUGUUACACCUCACCUGGAUUACAGUUCUUUCUUUCACCACUUACCAUCCAGGAAUCUGUUACACCUCACCUGGAUUACAGUUAUUUCUGUUACCACCAUCCAGGAAUCUGUUACACCUCACCUGGAUUACAGUUCUUUCUUUUACCACUUACCAUCCAGGAAUCUGUUACACCUCACCUGGAUUACAGUUCUUUCUUUUACCACUUACCAUCCAGGAAUCUGUUACACCUCACCUGGAUUACAGUUCUUUCUUUUACCACUUACCAUCCAGGAAUCUGUUACACCUCACCUGGAUUACAGUUCUUUCUUUCACCACUUACCAUCCAGGAAUCUGUUACACCUCACCUGGAUUACAGUUCUUUCUGUUACCACCAUCCAGGAAUCUGUUACACCUCACCUGGAUUACAGUUCUUUCUUUCACCACUUACCAUCCAGGAAUCUGUUACACCUCACCUGGAUUACAGUUCUUUCUUUCACCACUUACCAUCCAGGAAUCUGUUACACCUCACCUGGAUUACAGUUCUUUCUUUUACCACUUACCAUCCAGGAAUCUGUUACACCUCACCUGGAUUACAGUUCUUUCUUUCACCACUUACCAUCCAGGAAUCUGUGUGACAAACAAUGGAUAUUCAAUUCCAAAUGUGAUUUUCCUGUGUUUUAUGUAUACUUCCACGCUGAGGUUGGAAUAAUACUGGGAAAUUGUGAAAACAAAAUAUGA